rnacentral:rRNA from 1 species
GGGAGGAUUUAUGGAUUAGUAAAUUUAUGAAACUUAAUGUUCUUGGCGGUAAGAUUUAGUUAGGGGAGCUUGUUUAUUCGAAUUUGCUCGUUAUAUUAUAUUUUAUUAUUGUUUAUUUAUUUCCGUAUUUUUUUAUAUUAGUAUGAAAGAUCAGGUCAAUGUGUAGCUUAGUAAGGAGUUAAUUAGCUACAUUAAUAUAUUUAUGGAUAUAAUAUGGAAGUUUUAAUUGAAAUUGAACUUGAUUGUAAUUAUUUAUAGAGUAGUGAAUAUUUUUAGUUUU